AAAGAUUUAAAGAGAAUGAAAUGAGUGGACGUAAACAAAAAAGUAUUCUAUAUUGCGGACUGGAUUAAUAAUUGCUUAUUUCCUUAUGUAAAGACAAUUAGAGAAGAGAAAGAUGAAAGUGUGAUAUGGAACGUUUCUAAUCCGGUUUCGACAGGUCGGAAAAAUGAUAGCUGUAUUUUAAGAGUAAAAUUGAAAAGAACGCUAUUAAUGUGUCAUCUCUCUCUCUCUCUCUAUCUAUUUAUCUGCCUACACAAUGACUUAUGCGGCCUUAUUAGUGCUAACGCACGUUUCCAAUCGCAUUAAAAUGCAGGCAAACGGAAUGGACAAGUAAAAAUGCGGCGAGGUCAGUACGACAGCUAUACAAUAUAAUGUUCUAACUGGGAAUUUUCAAUUUAAAACAAGGAAAUUAAAUAAUCAAUGCAGGAUGAGAGAUGUUCAAAUAGCACCACGCCCUCGUGUCGCCUUAUCCUUCAUUCGCUUACUAAGGUUGAUGCAGCUACCUGCCUGCGGCGACAGGUACCUAGAUCUACCUGGGUUACAAGCGUACAUUCCUUAGGAAAUGUCCUUAAGAUCGGUCAGCCCGAAGUUGCCAAUAAGUUUUUUACCUGUCGCGGUUGACGAAAGAUCUUUUUGCGUGCGAAUGACGUUGCUGCUUGGCAAAUCGACCGUGUUCGUCGUUGUCGUCGUCGUCGUCAUCAUCAUUACAUCGCUUUCCGCAUUUUAUGCACAGUUUGCGCGAAACGCUGAGUGAGAGAUUAAUAUGAUCGAUAGUCAUCAAUCUUCAUUGCACGUUAUUCAUUAUUAUAACUUGGAACAUUAAUGUUUGUCUUACGUAUUGCGUGUUUCAAAGAAACAAAUACAGAUAGAGUAAAGUCGUUAACGAAAAGUUGAUAAAAUUCGCGAUAAAAAUCGCAAUUUUUAAU